rnacentral:pre_miRNA from 1 species
AUCACCUAGGGAUCUUGUUAAAAUGCAGAUUCUGAUGCAGUGAGUCAGAGACUCUGCAUUUCUAGUAAGCUUCUAAGUGGUCCAGA